UGGGGAAUAUUGGACAAUGGAGGGAACUCUGAUCCAGCAAUUCUGUGUGUGUGAAGAAGGUUUUAGGACUGUAAAACACUUUUAGUAGGGAAGAAAAAAAUGACGGUACCUACAGAAGAAGCAACGGCUAAAUACGUGCCAGCAGCCGCGGUAAUACGUAUGUUGCGAGCGUUAUCCGGAAUUAUUGGGCUUAAAGGGCAUCUAGGCGGUAAGACAAGUUGAAGGUAAAAACCUGUGGCUCAACCAUAGGCUUGCCUACAAAACUGUUGAACUAGAGUACUGGAAAGGUGGGUGGAACUACACGAGUAGAGGUGAAAUUCGUAGAUAUGUGUAGGAAUGCCGAUGAUGAAGAUAGCUCACUGGACAGAAACUGACGCUGAAGUGCGAAAGCUAGGGGAGCAAACAGG
rnacentral:rRNA from 1 species